UACGUAGGGACCGAGCGUUGUCCGGAAUCAUUGGGCGUAAAGAGCGUGUAGGCGGCCAAUUAAGUCCUGCGUGAAAACUCUGGGCUCAACCCAGAGCCUGCAUCCAAAACUGGCGGGCUAGAGUUCUGGAGGGGGUAGCGGAAUUCCUGGUGUAGCGGUGAAAUGCGUAGAUAUCAGGAGGAACACCGGUGGCGAAGGCGGCUACCUGGACAGAAACUGACGCUGAGGCGCGAAAGCUAGGGGAGCAAACAGG
rnacentral:rRNA from 1 species